rnacentral:lncRNA from 1 species
UGAUUCAAAAAAAAAAAAAAAAAAAAAAAAAAGAAAAAGUUCAAAGUUUGUUUUGUGGAUUGGUGGUGGAAGAGAAAGCCUGCUGGCUGAGGAGAAAUCCAGCCUUUGAGGUGGUUAAAACGGAUUUCAAAAAUCAAAAUCUCUUAUCUUUCUAUCUUGAGAAAAUUCCCUUGUUUGCUUGGAUUUGCCCAUUGGGAUUCUUUGAUUUGUUCUCUUAGAACAUUGAGUAGAAACUUGUGUGUGAUCACCUAAAUCUGAGAGAAACACUUGAGUGGGUGAGAAUAAAACACUUGAGAGAGUGAGGCUUUAUUUCCUAACUUUUGUGUUGAGAUUUUCAGGUUAUGAUGUUUGGUCUUCAAAGGAAAAGUAACAAGGAGAAGCACCCACGACUUUCUGUCUCUCAAACCUCCUUUAAAUAUGCUUUGAAUACUUUUGAUGAGUUUGUUGAUGUGCAGGAGAAACCAAACAGGUGGAGCAAAGAGCAUGUCAAUACAUCCAAAGGUGAAUCUGAUCCAAAAAGGCAACCCUUUCAAAUUGAUGUCCAACAAAUUUGUGAUAACCUUGUGAAGGGAGUGGACAAAGCCCUUAAGGACUUCAGCAAGAGCCAAAAGAAGAGCACAUCUACACGUGCCCCAGUAGCUGAGCCAUCCUUGUUCAUCAGUAAGAAAGCCCAAGGUGAAUCUGAAAACCAUUUUGAAGAACUUAAAGAUUUUUCAGAUUCUCUACCCAUUUUUGAUGAAUCUGAUGAAGAGCUAAUUGAAAGCUUGAUGUUUUGUGAAAAAUAUUGUGAUCUUCCUUCUCUUGAAACUGAGUUUAAUCUUGAUAAUGAACAAGCUAUUGUAGAACUAACUGUUUUGCAACCGGAGCUUCCGAGUAGUCUUGUUUUGUCUCCACAGGUUUUUGAGGAAGAGCCACUGGAUUUUCCACAUCAGUGCCCAUGUCUUGACACUAGGAUAUGUUUGGAUGAUGAUCUAGGUCCUAUCUUUGAUGAGGAGGACGAACCUGGUCCAGUCUUUGAUGAAGAAGCAACAACCAUCACAUCCAUUGCUAUGGAGAAUUAUCUAUGCUUUGAUCCCGGCACAACUCCUGCCCCUUUACCUUCGGAUCUUCAAGAGCACUGUGAGGAACCUUCUUCUCUUAAUUCUCUGCCUGACAUGUUUGUGAAAGUCAGUACUGAUGAUGUAAUUCGUUUUGGUCUUGACAAGAUGAAAGAUUUUUUUGUUUCAAAAUCUGUUUUUGAUAACAUGAUUAAUUCUUUAAAAAUCUUUGAACCUGAUAAAUGUCUAGAUCAAUUACGUUUUCAAAGUGUCAAUGGCAUCACUUCUGGAAUUAUUUUGAGCUUUGAUCAGUUCUUGGAACAUAACAAAGGUUUUCAUCUUCUUGGAAGGCCAUUUGAUCUUGAUUUGCAACAAACUGAUUUUUGUGCUGAAAAAUCUCUUGAUUCGUUAGUUUGCAAAAGAAAUAGCUUUGAUCUGAGUUCUUCUAGACAUGUACUGAUCACUGAUGAAUUGUUUGCAUCCUCUUAUGCCUUGGACGAAAUUUUGAUUCAGAAGUUGCUGGAACAGAAAUCACUUGAAACUGAAAAUGAUUUUCGUGAUCUUGAAAUUUGUGGUUCUGUUUUGCAGCUUGAUCUCUUGAGUUUUGAAACUGAUAAUACUUGGCAUUUUCUGAGAUCAUUUCGUGAUAAUGGUGUUGUCUUGAGUUCUGAUGAUAUUUUGGUUUACAACACAUUCUUUGAGAAAUGCCUUGAACUUUUGAUAAAUGAUUCUCAAACUGAACUUAAGCUUGUGUGUUCAGAUGUUGGGAAGGAUAUGCCCAUUUUGAAAAUGAAUACUGUUGUUGCAUAUCUUGAUAAAAUUCUUGUCUGUAAUAUUUACUUUUAUGAGCACCUUGAAAGGCUGAAAAAUGUGCAAUUUGUUCUUGGAAAAGAUAUCUUGAUUUGUGAUUUGAACAAAUAUUUAUCUUGCACAUUUGAUCCUGGUCUUUUAGUGUUUGUUUUGAGUAUCCAGGAAAGACAGGUUCAGCCUCUGAAUGAAAGCAUUGGCCGUGCCCAACAACCUCAGAUUUGGAGAAGCUUUGUUGUUCAAACCGGCUACCUUGGUGCCAGCGAUAGAGGUUCAGUCCAAGAAGGAUAUCUCAACAGUCCGAAGGUCUUUUGUCUUGAAUCCAAUUUUACAAGAAAGCCAACUCAUCAAGGAUUCACUGAGGCUUGGAAUCGCAUGAAAAGCUUCACGGAUAAAGAAGUUAUGAAUUUUCCAAACCGGAAGUUCUUCAGUACAACUAUCCGCGAGUACCAGAUUUCUAAAGGAGAUUCAUGCCCCAGAAAGAAUCGACCUGAGCCAAAAUCGAUCCUCAAUGAACCAAAGGUGUUUCCUCAGUCAACCUCCUGGCCAAAACAAAAGCACUGUAAGGAUCAUGGGUUGAUUAUCUCUGCUCAUCAUGAAAAUGUUUUGAAACCGAGAAUUUCUAAACGAAAUCACAUCUUUACUUGGUUGAAAAACGUUUUGUUUAAACCUUUCCAUGAAUUGUGUUCAUUGAGCUGUGCUUUGAAAGAGAUUUGGUUUAGGAAAAGGCAUGAACCAAAAUUGCUUAGACCAAAGAAUCAAUUUGAUUUCAUUCAUGAUAAGAAUUUUUCAGAUUUGGCAUUGUCUCUUUCUUUUCCUGACCGUUUCUCAGCUUGGCCUAAUUUUAAAAUUGAUAAACCAAUUUUUGGUGAUCAGUUUACUUGUUUGAUGCUUGCCCACGUGCUUGAUGAUUAUCCUAAGGGCUUGGAUCCUGAUCUUGGUGUCCUAAAGAUAGAGAAACCUUUUGAUUAUUUCUUUCGCAGAUUUGAUGUGGUUUCUCUAGUUAUUUUGAAUGAACAGGUUAAGCAUGAUCAGUUUCCAAGGAGAGCAAGCGCUGGAGAACGCCUAAGGACUUAUGUUCCUCAAACAUGGAACUGGAAAUACUUGAGGGAAACAAGUUCAAAACUCCAAGGAAGUUUCUGUCCAAAAUUUUCCUUCUCUGAAUUUUACAUGAUUUUAAACUUCUUUUUGUCUGAUUCAUUUUCUUUUGAUUCAGGUAAAAUUGAUUUGAGGUCAAAUCCUUUUGAAGAGGGAGGGAAUGAUGUGCCAUGGAGUAGCGCACCGGGCAAAACAGACAUGCAUGGUUUGAUCAUUGGAAGCAGUAAUGAUAUAUGUUCAUUGUUUGACUCAUAUCUUCUAAACCACGAGGCUUCUACACAUGAAAUCACUUGGAGAAUGUUCUCAACUCAAUUACGGAGCUCCUCGAAGAAGAAUCAGAUCAAACGGAGUUCAUAUGUGAUAGUUAUGCUAUUUACAAAUCAAGUGAUCUUUAGUUCUCGCGAAUUCAGACCACCCGAGAAGCUCGAAAUGGCUAACCUUCUUUCUGAUGAACCAACGGCCAAUUCAAUCAUGACAAAGGUGAUUAUUCAUGUUCUAAAUAUCCAAGAAAGCAUUGGGCUUGAUGGUUUUCAAAAAGAUUCAAAAACGAGCUUGUUUGGCCCAAAUGGAGAAACCGAUAAAAUAUUGGCUAAGGGAAAAGAUGGAUUUCGACCAGACCUCAAAGGGACAUGUCUUGGCCCAUAUCAGGAGUAUAUUCUUCACCUUUCAAAGUCCUGGUCGUGGCUAUAUGAAGAGGUAGUCUAAGUUUCAGUCAAAUACUUUAUUUAGUCAAGUCUUUGUUUCUAUUUCCAAUGUCUUGUUUUUAGCACAUUCUUCUUUGGAUCUCUACAACUUGUAAUCCUAUAAAUAAGGCCUUAGAGCAACGAAAUAAACCAGAUUGUUUUCCCCUUUUGUUGAGUUAAAACUCUUUGUUCUUUGUAGAACUUGUUCUUAGUUUCUUGGUGAGGUUAUCUCCAAGUUUCCAUCCUUCUUUUGUUGGACCGGUGCGUCACAUCCGGCAACGAUCGAAGUCUGGUAGUAUCUUUGGGCUAUUCCGCAACCCUUAGUGUCACCCCUCGAUCCAUCAGUUCUCAAUCCUCUCGGAUCUGAGUUCAUAUCAACCUUACCGAAAGAGUGAUCCUUAUUUUGGUUCUAUCAAGUGCCGUUUGCAUGGAAGAUCCGUGGUCAAUGAUGUGCCGCAGACCACGGAUCAUUACAUGGAACCAGCUCAGCAUGGAGUUCAGGACGUUCUGAACAUUUCAACCGAGGUUCAUCUUUUUCACCGUGCCAUACUUGACUUGGGUCGAGCCAGACUUAGCUUGGGUGGUGAAAAAACCAAAGACGGACAUGCAUUCUCAUCCGGCGGACCAUCCGGACAGUCCCGCAAGCGUCCUUAUCUUUAUCCCGUGCAUCCAUCUGGUUCGGAUGAAUCUAGACAUCUUGACUGGUCUUCUCCAUUUUCCGUGCCUUGACCAGAUCUAGUCUUCUCUAUUUUCCGUGCCUUGACCAGAUCUAGUCUUCUCUAUUUUCCGUGCCUUGACUUGAUCUAGUCAAAUUUAUAUUUCCUAUGCAUUGUUUUCCCACAUUUUCUUUUAUUGUCUUUGACUACAAAACACUAUAAAUAUGUAGUCCCUUUGAUGAAUAAAAUCAGUUCAUUUUGGUUGUUUAUUUCGUUUCUUCUCUGAGUGAGAGAGAGAGAGUUCUUAGCUAGUUCAUCGGUUUGAACCGGCUUGUUGAUUUGGUGGUCAGCCAAUCAUCUUUGUGUGUCGUUUGGUGGUUAGCCAACACACUACAUUCGUUCUUAGGUGGUUAGCCUUAGAUCGUGGGUAUAUCAAGAGCCAUUCCGCAUCUCUUGACGAUCCUUUCAAUCCAUCUCAGUUCCAGAAGCGCCAUUUGCUUCUCGGUUCAUAUCCAACACCCAGCUAAAGUGAUCCUUUCCGAUUUUGGUUCUAUCAAGUGGUAUCAGAGCCACUUUGGCUGGUUUGUUUUCUUUCAUCUUCUCAUCUCUCCACGUUUUUCUUUUCUUAUUUCUUGGAUCCGGGCUGUUCCUUUACUCCCUUGUGAUCGCCUAUUAUAAAAAAAAAAAAAAUCGAUAAAAAAGAAAAAAAAAAGUUUUGGCUUGAAUCACCUUCUGAAGAGAAAUCCAGGGGGAGUGGUGGAAGAGAAAUCCUGCUGGCUGAAGAGAAACCCAGCCUUUGGACAGUUAAGGCGGAUCCAUUUCAAAAAUCUCUUCAUCUUUCUUUCUCUUUUCUUUUUCCCACAAAAGUUUGUUUUGGGUUUUGAUUGCUGAAUUUUGACUGCCUAUCAUCCUUUGAACCAGUGAAAGAACUCUGAGUGACCAUUUAAAAAUCGAGAGCUAAACACUUGAGAGUGUGAGGAUUUUUAUUUUCUAACUUUGUUAAGUGUUUUCAGGAUGUUUGGACUUCUCAAGAAAUCAAAACCACAACAAGACGUCUACUUUCCUUUUAAAACUGUUUUUGAAAAGGAGCAAUUGAUUUUUGAUAAGAAACAGUUUGCUUCUAAUGAGUUUGACUUUGUGCAGAAACAAAAGAAGAGACAAAACAGGUGUGAUGAUGAGAAGUGGGCCAGAAGUCGUGAUCGUCCCUUCACCAAAGCCAAGAGAAGCAACUGUGAUGUGCCUGAUCAGAAUGAGCUUCAGAAUUAUGCCAGCUUGGAAAAGAUGUUGCAUAAGGCGAUUCAUGUUGUCCGGCAACUCAAAAAGAAGGGAAACAGCAACACUUCUUCUGCACCAAAACAACAAAGUAAUUCUUCUUCUAUUUCAAAUUCUGAUUUGAAAACUAAUGUGUUGUCUUUUGAUAAAAGCAAGGCUGUGAAAACCACAAGCAAGGCUCUUUCUACCAGGUGUUUCAAAUGCCAUAAGGUCGGUCAUUAUGCCAACAAGUGCCAAAAACAGAAAACGUUGGUGACAUUGGAGAAAGUUGAAACCGAGCCAGAAAAGGAAGACGUUUUACCAAUUUUCGAUGACUAUGCACAUGAACCAAAGGAAGGGUCAGGUGGAGAGCAAAAUUGUGGUCAUAGAGAAGGAUCUUGUUCCAUUCACAAUCCGGACCAAACUCAAGGUGAACAACGUUCUGAUUAUGGUUCUUUUGCUUAUAAUCCUUUUCCUUUUAAUGUUUCAGAUUUGAGGACAAAUCUUUUUGAAGAGGAAGGGAAUGAUGUGCCGCAGACCACGGAUCAUUACAUGGAACCAGCUCAGCAUGGAGUUCAGGACGUUCUGAACAUUUCAACCGAGGUUCAUCUUUUUCACCGUGCCAUACUUGACUUGGGUCGAGCCAGACUUAGCUUGGGUGGUGAAAAAACCAAAGACGGACAUGCAUUCUCAUCCGGCGGACCAUCCGGACAGUCCCGCAAGCGUCCUUAUCUUUAUCCCGUGCAUCCAUCUGGUUCGGAUGAAUCUAGACAUCUUGACUGGUCUUCUCCAUUUUCCGUGCCUUGACCAGAUCUAGUCUUCUCUAUUUUCCGUGCCUUGACCAGAUCUAGUCUUCUCUAUUUUCCGUGCCUUGACUUGAUCUAGUCAAAUUUAUAUUUCCUAUGCAUUGUUUUCCCACAUUUUCUUUUAUUGUCUUUGACUACAAAACACUAUAAAUAUGUAGUCCCUUUGAUGAAUAAAAUCAGUUCAUUUUGGUUGUUUAUUUCGUUUCUUCUCUGAGUGAGAGAGAGAGAGUUCUUAGCUAGUUCAUCGGUUUGAACCGGCUUGUUGAUUUGGUGGUCAGCCAAUCAUCUUUGUAUGUCGUUUGGUGGUUAGCCAACACACUACAUUCGUUCUUAGGUGGUUAGCCUUAGAUCGUGGGUAUAUCAAGAGCCAUUCCGCAUCUCUUGACGAUCCUUUCAAUCCAUCUCAGUUCCAGAAGCGCCAUUUGCUUCUCGGUUCAUAUCCAACACCCAGCUAAAGUGAUCCUUUCCGAUUUUGGUUCUAUCUAUCUUAGGGUUCUUCAGUUGGUAUCAGAGCCACUUUGGCUGGUUUGUUAUCAUUCUCUUAUCAUCUUCUCAUAUCUUCAUCAUUCUAUUUUCUUAUUGUUUUUUUGGAUCCGGGCUGUUCCUUUACUCCCUUGUGAUCGCCAGUUAUUAAAAAAAAAAAUAAGGAUCACUCUUUCGGUAAGGUUGAUAUGAACUCAGAUCCGAGAGGAUUGAGAACUGAUGGUAUUAACGGUGACACUAAGGGUUGCGGAAUAGCCCAAAGAUACUACCAGACUUCGAUCGUUGCCGGAUGUGACGCACCGGUCCAACAAAAGAAGGAUCGAAACUUGGAGAUAACGUCACCAAGAAACUAAGAAAUGUUCUAACAAAGAACAAAGAGUUUUAACUCAACAAAAGGGGAAAACAAUCUGCUUUAUUUCGUGGCUCUAAGGCCUUAUUUAUAGGAUUACAAGUUGUAGAGAUCCAAAGAAGAAUGUGCUAAAAACAAGACAUUGGAAAUAGAAACAAAGACUUGACUAAAUAAAGUCUUUGACUGAAACUUGGACUACUUCUUCAUAUAGCCACGACCAGGACUUUGAAAGGUGAAGAAUAUACUCCUGAUAUGGGCCAAGACAUGUCCCUUUGAGGUCUGGUCGAAAUCCAUCUUUUCCCUUAGCCAAUAUUUUAUCGGUUUCUCCAUUUGGGCCAAACAAGCUCGUUUUUGAAUCUUUUUGAAAACCAUCAAGCCCAAUGCUUUCUUGGACAUUUAGAACAUGAAUAAUCACCUUUGUCAUGAUUGAAUUGGCUGUUGGUUCAUCAGAAAGAAGGUUAGCCAUUUCGAGCUUCUCGGGUGGUCUGAAUUCGCAAGAACUAAAGAUCACUUGAUUUGUAAAUAGCAUAACUAUCACAUAUGAACUCCGUUUGAUCUGAUUCUUCUUCGAGGAGCUCCGUAAUUGAGUUGAUAACAUUCUACAAGUGAUUUCAUGUGUAGAAGCCUCGUGGUUUAGAAGAUAUGAGUCAAACAAUGAACAUAUAUCAUUACUGCUUCCAAUGAUCAAACCAUGCAUGUCUGUUUUGCCCGGUGCGCUACUCCAUGGCACAUCAUUCUCUCCCUCUUCAAAAGGAUUUGACCUCAAAUCAAUUUUACCUGAAUCAAAAUAAAAUGAAUCAGACAAAAAGAAUUUUAAAAUCAUGUAAAAUUCAGAGAAGGAAAAUUUUGGACAGAAACUUCCUUGGAGUUUUGAACUUGUUUCCCUCAAGUAUUUCCAGUUCCAUGUUCGAAGAACAUAAGUCCUUAGGCGUUCUCCAGCGCUUGCUCUCCUUGGAAACUGAUCAUGCUUAACCUGUUCAUUCAAAAUAACUCGAGAAACCACAUCAAAUCUGCGAAAGAAAUAAUCAAAGGGUUUCUCUAUCUUUAGGACAUCAAGAUCAGGAUCUAAGCCCUUAGGAUAAUCAUCAAGCACGUGGGCAAGCAUCAAACAAGUAAACUGAUCACCAAAAAUUGGUUUAUCAAUUUUAAAAUUAGGCCAAGCUGAUCACCAAGCCGUUUGCCUUCUCGGAUCAUAUCCAACACCCAGCUAAAGUGAUCCUCCCUAUCUUAGGGUUCUUCAGUUGGUAUCAGAGCCACUUUGGCUGGUUUGUUUUCAUUUCAUCUUUUCAUCUUCUCAUCUCUCCACGAUUUUAUUUUCUUAUUUCUUGUUGGAUCCGGGCUGUUCCUUUACUCCCUUGUGAUCGCCAGUUAUUAAAAAAAAAAAAGAGAAAAAAAAAUUGAUCAAAAAAAAAAAAGAGUGAAAGUUUUGGCUUGAAUCACUUCUGAAGAGAAAUCCAGGGGGAGUGGUGGAAGAGAAACCCUGCUGGCUGAAGAGAAACCCAGCCUUAGGACAGUUAAGGCGGAUCCACACAAAAAUCUCUUCAUUGUUCUUUCUCUUUUCUUUUCCCACAAAGUUUGUUUUGGGUUUUGACUCCUGAUUUUUUACUGCCUAUCAUCCUUUGAACCAGUGAAAGAACUCUGAGUGACCAUCUAAAAAUCGUGAGCUAAACACUUGAGAGUGUGAGGAUUUUUAUUUGCUAACUUUUUUAAGUGUUUUCAGGAUGUUUGGACUUCUCAAGAAAUCAAAACCACAACA